ensembl:snRNA U6 U6 spliceosomal RNA
GUGCUCUUUGGCAGCACACCUACUAAAACUGAAGUGAUACAGAGACGACUAGCAUGGCCUCUAUGCAAGGAUGACAUGGAAAUUUGUGAAACAUUCCAUGUUUUU